rnacentral:misc_RNA from 1 species
UUCGCCAGUAUCUGCUGU